AAAAUAGAAGUAGAAAAUAUAAAACUUGGAGAUCUACCUGAAGUAGCAAAGUUGGAAAUCAGUGGUGAUGGGUUCCUCAAUUUUCUUCUGAAACUACGGUGGCUAUUUAAUAAUAAAAAUGAUGCAGAGUAUCUUUACUGAGUUAUCUAAAAUUAUCAUAUUAUUAGAAUGGGUUUCUCCUCAGAGUUUUACUUUAAUUUGUGAAGAAAUAGCUAGUACUGUUGAAGAUUUCAGAGAAGGCUUCAGAAGUUUCAAAAGAAGUUGCAAAAGAAACAGAAAAACUGGUUGAAUUCAUACACCGUCAAUGGAAGAUGUAUGUACAUGGAAUUCUGGAAUUUUGAAGAAACCGGCUGUUACACUGCUCCAUAUGGAUUUGAGUUUUUUUGUUUCAUCUGCAUACUGAUUUUACAGAGAAAAUAA
rnacentral:lncRNA from 10 species